UACGGGGGGGGGCAAGCGUUUGUUCGGAAUUACUGGGCGUAAAGGGCUCGUAGGCGGCCAACUAAGUCAGACGUGAAAUCCCUCGGCUUAACCGGGGAACUGCGUCUGAUACUGGAUGGCUUGAGUUUGGGAGAGGGAUGCGGAAUUCCAGGUGUAGCGGUGAAAUGCGUAGAUAUCUGGAGGAACACCGGUGGCGAAGGCGGCGAUCCUGGACCAAUUCUGACGCUGAGGAGCGAAAGCCAGGGGAGCAAACGGGG
rnacentral:rRNA from 1 species